CCAGACUCCUACGGGAGGCAGCAGUGAGGAAUAUUGGUCAAUGGGCGGGAGCCUGAACCAGCCAAGCCGCGUGAAGGAAGAAGGCGCCAGGCGUCGUAAACUUCUUUUGUCGGGGAACAAAGGGCGCCACGCGUGGCGUCGUGAGUGUACCCGAAGAAAAAGCAUCGGCUAACUCCGUGCCAGCAGCCGCGGUAAUACGGAGGAUGCGAGCGUUAUCCGGAUUUAUUGGGUUUAAAGGGUGCGUAGGCGGCCCGGAAGGACAGCGGAAAACGCCCGGGGCUCACCCCCGGCGAGCCGUUGAAACUGUCGGACUAGAGACGGCGAGAAGUACGCGGAAUGCGCGGUGUAGCGGUGAAAUGCAUAGAUAUCGCGCAGAACUCCGAUUGCGAAGGCAGCGUACCGGCGCCGGACUGACGCUGAGGCACGAAAGCGUGGGGAGCAAACAGGAUUAGAUACCCCCGUA
rnacentral:rRNA from 1 species